rnacentral:rRNA from 1 species
CUACGGAGGGGGCUAGCGUUGUUCGGAAUUACUGGGCGUAAAGCGCACGUAGGCGGACUGGAAAGUUGGGGGUGAAAUCCCGGGGCUCAACCCCGGAACUGCCUCCAAAACUUCCAAUCUAGAGAUCGAGAGAGGUGAGUGGAAUUCCAAGUGUAGAGGUGAAAUUCGUAGAUAUUUGGAGGAACACCAGUGGCGAAGGCGGCUCACUGGCUCGAUACUGACGCUGAGGUGCGAAAGCGUGGGGAGCAAACAGGAUUAGAGACCCUAGUAGUCC